rnacentral:rRNA from 1 species
UGGGGAAUUUUGGACAAUGGGCGAAAGCCUGAUCCAGCAAUGCCGCGUGUGUGAAGAAGGCCUUCGGGUUGUAAAGCACUUUUGUCCGGAAAGAAAUCCUCUGGGUUAAUACCUCGGGGGGAUGACAGUACCGGAAGAAUAAGCACCGGCUAACUACGUGCCAGCAGCCGCGGUAAUACGUAGGGUGCAAGCGUUAAUCGGAAUUACUGGGCGUAAAGCGUGCGCAGGCGGUUUUGUAAGACGGAUGUGAAAUCCCCGGGCUUAACCUGGGAACUGCAUUCGUGACUGCAAGGCUAGAGUAUGGCAGAGGGGGGUAGAAUUCCACGUGUAGCAGUGAAAUGCGUAGAGAUGUGGAGGAAUACCGAUGGCGAAGGCAGCCCCCUGGGCCAAUACUGACGCUCAUGCACGAAAGCGUGGGGAGCAAACAGGAUUAGAUACCCUGGUAGUCCACGCCCUAAACGAUGUCAACUAGUUGUUGGGGAUUCAUUUCCUUAGUAACGUAGCUAACGCGUGAAGUUGACCGCCUGGGGAGUACGGUCGCAAGAUU